ACACUCCUGCGGGAGGCAGCAGUGGGGAAUAUUGGACAAUGGGCGCAAGCCUGAUCCAGCCAUGCCGCGUGAGUGAUGAAGGCCCUAGGGUUGUAAAGCUCUUUCACCGGUGAAGAUAAUGACGGUAACCGGAGAAGAAGCCCCGGCUAACUUCGUGCCAGCAGCCGCGGUAAUACGAAGGGGGCUAGCGUUGUUCGGAUUUACUGGGCGUAAAGCGCACGUAGGCGGACUAUUAAGUCAGGGGUGAAAUCCCGGGGCUCAACCCCGGAACUGCCUUUGAUACUGGUAGUCUUGAGUUCGAGAGAGGUGAGUGGAAUUCCGAGUGUAGAGGUGAAAUUCGUAGAUAUUCGGAGGAACACCAGUGGCGAAGGCGGCUCACUGGCUCGAUACUGACGCUGAGGUGCGAAAGCGUGGGGAGCAAUCAGGAUUAGAUACCCCUGUAGUCCC
rnacentral:rRNA from 1 species